UGCACCUCCUCCCUCAUCCCAGGGAAGAGAAUGCGCCGGGCCUGCAGACUGAGCCAUCAGGUGCAGCUGGUCAGUGCUGAGCUGGGGCCACUCGGCUCCCCGGGGCUGGCGUGGAGAGGGCCAGAUUGGGUGCCUGUCCUAACAGAGAUCCUGUUGAUUGGAAAUACUUGAAAUACUGAGCAUCAGACAUCGUCUGAGGAUUCAUAAAUGAUAUAGAUGCAGUAGCCAUCCAGCUCAUUAGAAAAACCAGCUGAGCACAUCUAAAAGAGCCGUGGAGUUUUCAGACUCUGUC
rnacentral:lncRNA from 1 species